rnacentral:tRNA from 1 species
CACAACAGAGGUUAAAGUCCUCUCACUUCC